GGUGUGUCAAGCGAAUCGAGGAAUUGACCCCUCCCAUUGCCUAACCGAAGAAUGUUACCGAACGAUUUGGCGGGUGGAAGAACCGGCGUCAUCCAAUCGCCAUUGAGGUUCUCAAGGGCCGACUCCUGACGCCAGGCUUUCACUGCCAUCUGCACGUCCGCAGGCUUUUGUUC
rnacentral:sRNA from 1 species